rnacentral:rRNA from 1 species
AGUGAACGCUGGCGGUAGGCCUAACACAUGCCAGUCGAACGGCAGCACAGUAAGAGCUUGCUCUUACGGGUGGCGAGUGGCGGACGGGUGAGGAAUACAUCGGAAUCUACUUUUUCGUGGGGGAUAACGUAGGGAAACUUACGCUAAUACCGCAUACGACCUACGGGUGAAAGCAUGGGAUCUUCGGACCUUGCGCGAUUGAAUGAGCCGAUGUCGGAUUAGCUAGUUGGCGGGGUAAAGGCCCACCAAGGCGACGAUCCGUAGCUGGUCUGAGAGGAUGAUCAGCCACACUGGAACUGAGACACGGUCCAGACUCCUACGGGAGGCAGCAGUGGGGAAUAUUGGACAAUGGGCGCAAGCCUGAUCCAGCCAUGCCGCGUGGGUGAAGAAGGCCUUCGGGUUGUAAAGCACUUUUGUUGGGAAAGAAAAGCAGCAGGUUAAUACCCCGCUGUUCUGACGGUACCCAAAGAAUAAGCACCGGCUAACUUCGUG